rnacentral:rRNA from 1 species
UACGGAGGGGGCUAGCGUUGCUCGGAAUCACUGGGCGUAAAGGGCGCGUAGGCGGCUGUUCAAGUCGGGGGUGAAAGCCUGUGGCUCAACCACAGAAUUGCCUUCGAUACUGGACGGCUCGAGACCGGAAGAGGUCAGUGGAACUGCGAGUGUAGAGGUGAAAUUCGUAGAUAUUCGCAAGAACACCAGUGGCGAAGGCGGCUGACUGGUCCGGUUCUGACGCUGAGGUGCGAAAGCGUGGGGAGCAAACAGG